rnacentral:rRNA from 1 species
AGCUGCAGAAGAAGCACCGGCUAACUCCGUGCCAGCAGCCGCGGUAAGUACGGAGGGUGCGUAGCGUUAAUUCGGAAGUUACUAGGGCGUAAAGCGCAUGCAGGUGGUUUGUUAAGUCAGAUGUGAAAGCCCGGGGCUCAACCUCGGAAUUGCAAUUUGAAACUGGCAAACUAGAGUACUGGUAGAGGGGGUAGAAUUUCAGGUGUAGCGGUGAAAUGCGUAGAGAUCUGAAGGAAUACCGGUGGCGAAGGCGGCCCCCUGGACAGAUACUGACACUCAGAUGCGAAAGCGUGGGGAGCAAACAGGAUUAGAUACCCUGGUAG